UGGGGAAUUUUGGACAAUGGGCGAAAGCCUGAUCCAGCAAUGCCGCGUGUGUGAAGAAGGCCUUCGGGUUGUAAAGCACUUUUGUCCGGAAAGAAAUCCUUGGCUCUAAUACAGUCGGGGGAUGACGGUACCGGAAGAAUAAGCACCGGCUAACUACGUGCCAGCAGCCGCGGUAAUACGUAGGGUGCAAGCGUUAAUCGGAAUUACUGGGCGUAAAGCGUGCGCAGGCGGUUUGCUAAGACCGAUGUGAAAUCCCCGGGCUCAACCUGGGAACUGCAUUGGUGACUGGCAGGCUAGAGUAUGGCAGAGGGGGGUAGAAUUCCACGUGUAGCAGUGAAAUGCGUAGAGAUGUGGAGGAAUACCGAUGGCGAAGGCAGCCCCCUGGGCCAAAUACUGACGCUCAUGCACGAAAGCGUGGGGAGCAAACAGGAUUAGAUACCCUGGUAGUCCACGCCCUAAACGAUGUCAACUAGUUGUUGGGGAUUCAUUUCCUAGUAACGUAGCUAACGCGUGAAGUUGACCGCCUGGGGAGUACGGUCGCAAGAUUAAAACUCAAAGGAAUUGAC
rnacentral:rRNA from 1 species